rnacentral:misc_RNA from 1 species
CAGGACUCGCAAGACUCCUUAAACCCUGUGAACUUACUACAAAGCACGUUGCUUCGGCGGGUGCCUUUGGGGGACUUCCCCCGGGGCGCUAAGCCCGCCGGCAGCCUACAAAUUCUGUCUCUUUGCGUUGGCAUCUCGAGUACAAACAAAUAAGUUA